CCUACGGGAGGCAGCAGUGGGGAAUAUUGCACAAUGGGGGAAACCCUGAUGCAGCGACGCCGCGUGAGUGAAGAAGUAUUUCGGUAUGUAAAGCUCUAUCAGCAGGGAAGAAGAAAGACGGUACCUGACUAAGAAGCCACGGCUAACUACGUGCCAGCAGCCGCGGUAAUACGUAGGGGGCAAGCGUUAUCCGGAUUUACGGGGUGUAAAGGGAGCGUAGACGGCUGUGCAAGUCUGAAGUGAAAGCCCAGGGCUCAACCCUGGGACUGCUUUGGAAACGGGGGAGCUGGAGUGCUGGAGAGGUGAGUGGAAUUCCUAGUGUAGGAGUGAAAUGCGUAGAUAUUAGGAGGAACACCAGUGGCGAAGGCGGCUUACUGGACAGUAACUGACGUUGAGGCUCGAAAGCGUGGGGAGCAAACAGGAUUAGAUACCCCUGUAGUC
rnacentral:rRNA from 1 species